rnacentral:lncRNA from 12 species
UGGCAUAUUUUCGAAUAAUAAUUCAUCCGUAUUUUAGCGCCCUCUACAGAUCGUGUCGCUGUAACUGCAGAGUGGAGACGCUUAAACUGAAAGGUCGCGUGGCUUUGUGCCUCUUUGUUUGUCUAUUUCAGGAAGAGUAGAGGAAACUCGAGCCCAGCACACACUGAUAUGUAAGGCAGAGCUUUAACCCCCGACUGCCUGAGCUGUGUCGGGCUCUUUCAGGCUUUUAAAACCCCAGUCCGGUUUGAUUUCCGCAUGAGUUCUCGCGCCGGAGGAGAAAGAAGAGGAUGGUGCUGCGGCUCAGAGAGCAGCGGCU